UCUUCUCUCUGCGAGGGAUGAGAUAAUGAGAUUUUUUUUUCGCGAGGGAUGAGAAUUGAUUCAGGUACUUAUUGCUAUUGGUUGCAUGUCUUCUGCGUGUUGUGUAGCUGUUGUGUCUCCAUCUGCUCUUUUAGAUUUCAGCAAGGAGCCUGGCAAAUAAGGCCAUAAGGGGGGCAGGUUGCGGUUUAUUUGGUUUUCUGUUGUUUUCUAUCAUUCUAUGUCUAACUCAGUUUGCUAUGCGGCUUCACAUGAAAUUUCUAAUGCAGGAUCUAGUGGUCCGGAUUCAAAGGGAACGCGGAAUUGACAUAAAUUUUCGCUGCAUUGAACAUAAGGGAGCAGUCGAUGGCAAAUAUUAGCGAUCCAAAGAAAGAAAUGACAACUGAUGACAUUAAAAUUGACGAUGAAGUGCAGACAGCAUCGGCCUCAUCUUCGUGGUCUAUUUUUAAUUGGACAAACAAAGCAGAGGUGGAGGGAUCAAAUGAUGUUCAGAAACCAAGAAAAAGAAGCACCCAAGAGAUCCUCACCAUACGGGGAUGCUGCCGCGGCAGCAGCUCAGGCAAAAGAUAAGCUUAUGGAGCGGCAGGAAAAACUUGCGAGGAUAGCCCAAGAAUCUGCAGAGCUUCAGAGCGAGUCGGAAAAUUUUGCUUCCCUCGCUCAGCAGAUAACAAAGUCCAUGGAGAGCAAGAUGUGGUGGAGACCAUGAUAUUUGGCACAUAUUUGCUGCUUACCGCACUAAUCGUAUACAUACAUUUAGCUGUGGUGCUUACCAUGCAUGCUGUGUGCUAACUGCCCAUCUUGAAGACUAAAAUGUAUGGAAGAUUUAGGUUUCUAUCGAUCUACACCGGCUAAAAUGAAACCAAGACGUUGCCUUGUGAAGUGUUUGUCUAUUAAAUGGUCUGUCUCCAUGGUUGGGAGUGUGACCUGACAUAUGCUUCGACUUGUCAGUCCUGUGCUUGGUUUUCAUGGUUGAUGCAGUUAA